rnacentral:misc_RNA from 1 species
AUCUCUUACUUCUCCUUCGCACUGAUGACGAGGGACGCAUCAGCGUCGUAUUUCAGGGCCCGGCACCCGCUCUGUGUGGGAAAGCCAUACAGCCCCCUACUUGCUGACAAAUGCGGAACCACUUCUGGUGGUGGCAGGGUGGAGCGCCUACGACGGAGGGGGGGGUCAGCGCGAUGCAUUGCCACAGAUGUCGGCGGCCAGGCCCUGGACGGCGUUGCGCCGCAGCGACCUGCAAUCGUGCACACGUUAGUGUCACCCGUAUGAUUAGGCAGAAUGCCAACGUGACUGGAACCUGCACUACUCGGGCCCCCACGCUGCCCACUGGAGUGGGGAGCCUGAGCCGCCCCGAGGGACGCACCAGGUGGGCGACUGGCAUAGUGGGGGAGCGGCUGUGAGGCGACCUGCGAAGCUGGUGUGGGCAGGGCUUAAGGCGGGGAGGCCGUGCUCUUCGACGACUGAGUCGGCGCGUUGCUGAAACGUUGGUGUCUGGCGCUGCUUCGCACGACUGGAUGGGACCGUGAGAGGCCGGGGAGGGGUCGAGCCCGACUCAUGCGCUAUAGCAGUGUAGACCUGUUUCAAAUGCGAAAAACCUCUUUCUCCGUCUCCGCUGAAUGACAGCUGUGCGCAAUGCAGAAGUACGAGCGGCGUUUUGUACGCUUCCGCCGACUUCUCUGCCGUCAUCUCUUUUCCGCUUCUUUUUUUUUCCGUCCUCUUCGGUCGCGACGCGCGAAUCUCCUCGACCCUCUUCUAUUAGCAGUUGUAAAGAUGUGGCAUGGACGCAUGUUUUGGUGUAUUGAUUCAGGGUUCUUGUACUACACAUUGGAUUUGCUUUUGGCGUAGCGCGACUGCACGUUCGUACCCCCGUGUGCUCUUGUGUGGGGACGUGCAUCCGUCCGUGUGGUCGGUCUGCCGGCAUGCACGUACUCUUCUUCCGCCGCUCUUGCUUUCUUUUGUUUGCUCGCUUCUCCACUGUUGCGCGUCGUUCUCGCGCGCGGACCGGAGGCGAGUUACGCAGCCCAGGCAGAGACCCGCAUGCCACGAAAGCAGCACUCCCACCAAAUGUAAAAAAAAAAUAAUGCACCAGGGUGCCCCCUCUCCCCCGCCAUACUCCGAUGCUGUCGCGCAUGACGCUCUUUACGUAGGUGGUUGCCGCACCUGGCGUGAACGUGCUCUCCCACUUCAUGAGAACAAAGAAAAACUAGCAGAAUAUGUUUUUUUUUUUCGCUCGCACAUCACCAGCGCGUUACCGUCUAGUCGCCGAACUCACGCUCUCUCCAAUCACGGAACAACAUGCUGGCUGUAUCACACCGUAUGUGCUCACUAUCCGUCAACAACACGUCCCCCUUCUCCAUCUUGUAUUCCAUUGUUCAUCCUUUUCCGGCACAAAUUUGCGUUGUGCCCUCCCUCACCGCUCUCAUCCCCACCACCUUGAACACUUCUUCCCCCCUCAAAUGCACCCGUGCCACAG